CAGCCGCCACGGGAACACGAAGGGUGCAAGCGUUACUCGGAAUUACUGGGCGUAAAGCGUGCGUAGGUGGUGGUUUAAGUCCGUUGUGAAAGCCCUGGGCUCAACCUGGGAAUUGCAGUGGAUACUGGAUCACUAGAGUGUGGUAGAGGAUAGUGGAAUUUCCGGUGUAGCAGUGAAAUGCGUAGAGAUCGGAAGGAACAUCUGUGGCGAAGGCGACUAUCUGGGCCAACACUGACACUGAGGCACGAAAGCGUGGGGAGCAAACAGGAUUAGAGACCCCCGUAGUCCCUGUCUCUUAUAC
rnacentral:rRNA from 1 species